GCCUUCGUGGUAUAACGAUAGCACGCUCGGCCCAUAUUCGAGAGGUCCAGGUUCGAGUCCGGGCAGGGGCG
rnacentral:tRNA from 1 species